rfam:Bacteroides luti strain DSM 26991 genome assembly, contig: Ga0131163_132
AAGAGCCGUGUGACGGGAGACUGUCACGCACGGUUCUGUGAGAGGCUUGAGCUGGAAUGCUCAGGCCUACUCGAC